CUUUUUCUUCUACUUUUAAUUAUAAUUAUGGAUAGAUUUGAAGUUGCAUUAAAUCGGUCUAUAUAUUCAUCAAAUUUGUCCAACUAUGAUUCCUCUAUUUUGACGGUCUCUGAACACAUGAUCGAUUCAGUGAUGGCUACCCAGAAAAGAGGUUUCAAGGCCAUCAUUUGCAGAGAGGAAGAGCUAAACUUCUGGGCGGGGUUUAAACGAUUCCUAUUUCCUCGAAAUUUCCUACUCAGACGUUUGAAUUUUUGCUGUUACAAUGCAGAUGAGGUCUUACUGGUAUAAAACUAGAAAAUUAGUGGAGUAGUAGAUCAGUUGAAGUAACCGCAUGUACACAGAGUGUUCAUUCUUUCUUAUUCUUUAUUUGGGGUUUUCGGUAUGAAAGUAUAGAUUAUAUUCAAUUUCAAAUAUAUGUUGGACAUUUUGUUUUAAAUUGCAUGUACUUUGGUCCAUUAAGAGCCGAAGCAACCUAUUAGAAAAAAUAGGAACCCAAACAAAUGUGAAGAAUCUCUUUCUGCAAGUAAAACAGCAAAUAUUUCUGCUUUCCUUUGCCUUUAUUCAAUUUUGGUUGAUAAGCUGAUAAGUAAAUUUCAGUAGCAUCUCAUAUUUCAAAUAUUGCAUUUUGUACAUGAAAUAUAGGAGAAAAAUGCACAUACUUAGAGAGCACAAGAAACUUGAAAAUUUACUUAGUAAAUAGUUGUCUACAAUGCCUUCUUGGUCUUAUCUGCUGCUCUCUGGCUUCAUCACUAAUUAUUUCUGUAAUAAGGUCUUUAUAUAUUAAGCGCUCCACAUCCAAAAUCAAUGCUGGAAUCUCACCUUGAUAAUUUGUCCAAUCUUCCGACUGAUGCCUCAUAUCUGCAUUUAGAAUACUUAUCAAUUCAUCGUCACAUCCAAAAUCAAUGCUGGAAUCUCAGUUUGACAAUUUGUCCAAUCUUCCGACUGAUGCCUCAUAUCUGCAUUUAGAAUACUUAUCAAUUCAUCGUCUUCAGAGUCCAUGCUAAUCUUCUUAGCAUUAAGGUGGUCUACGUCUGACUU
rnacentral:lncRNA from 1 species